UCCUCAGUAGCUCAGUGGUAGAGCGAUCGGCUGUUAACCGAUUGGUCGUAGGUUCAAAUCCUUCCUGAGGAGAUU
rnacentral:tRNA from 1 species